UUGGCCGAGCGAACUCUUGCUGAUCGUUAUCAAAUCAUGAUGUCUGGUGGUGAUGGUUAUGAUUCUCAGAUUUCUAACUGGAUGCAUAUGCUGCUGCCUCUGGCUUUGGAAAGAGGAACUUGCAUAAUUACCAAUAUGGGUGCAAUGGAUCCUCUGGGUGCUGAACAGAAGGUCUUAGAAAUAGCUAACAGCCUGGGUCUCAAUGUUUCUGUUGUUGUGGCUCACGAGGUGUCGGUCACUAAUAUAGUAGGUAU